AUCUUUUCUUGCAAGGCAGGAUUUGGCAGCUUCAAACAAAUCAAACAUGAGCCAAGACUUUUCAUUCUCUUUCUCUCGUCCACUUAUUUGUCCAUAAACUCUUCUGACAAAUUUUUCACCAAAACCAGUUGGAUGGGCAGGUGACCAAAAGAGGACCUAUAUUUGGUUGGCGGCUCAGUCGUCCAAGGAUACGGGUCCAUUAAGGAAGAAAGAAAGGGCCAGGCGCAUGGAGAUUGUAUUUUCUGUGGUUCGCAACUUCACAAGUGGGAACAUACGGCAUAUAAGUUCUCUGGAAGUUUUCACUUUCUUCAUUCUCUACUCUACAAGUGGGAGCUGUCCAAUUCAUCCACUAGUUCGCAUGCAAAAGUAAUGCUAAUUAUUUCAACUGGCCCGUUUAUUCCGCUUUGUUUUUUUGCCGUAGUUAAGAAGGGGAUGGGUGGAAAACAAUCACAAGUAUUGACUAUUUGAUGGCAAUCUCUUUAAUAUAGCGGAACCAAUUAAUGUAUGUGAGAUCUAUCUGUAUUAGAUAUGUGAUCAUUAACGAUUUAAUAGAGGCAGACCCAACUAAAGAAGUGGAGUGUCAAUUAAUGUUCCUCUUUGUUUAUAGGGCUAAUAGUAAAAGACGCCCUAAAGAAUUAGAUGACAUUAUAAUUAAGGUGAAAUUGUUUAUU